GAUGAACGCUAGCUACAGGCUUAACACAUGCAAGUCGAGGGGCAGCAGGAACAAAGCUUGCUUUGUUUGCUGGCGACCGGCGCACGGGUGAGUAACGCGUAUCCGACCUACCCAUAACACGGGCACAGCCGCUCGAAAGAGUGAUUGAUUCCCGAUAUGUCUUUAGAGUGGAUUUAAAGAUGAAAGAUUUAUCGGUUAUGGAUGGGGAUGCGUAAGAUUAGGUAGUAGGCGGGGUAACGGCCCACCUAGCCGACGAUCUUUAGGGGUUCUGAGAGGAAGGUCCCCCACACUGGUACUGAGACACGGACCAGACUCCUACGGGAGGCAGCAGUGAGGAAUAUUGGUCAAUGGGCGGAAGCCUGAACCAGCCAAGUAGCGUGAAGGAUUACAGCCCUACGGGUUUUAAACUCUUUUAUAUAAGAGUAAUGUGCACUACGUGUAGUGUAUUGCAAGUAUUAUAUGAAUAAGCAUCGGCUAACUCCGUGCCAGCAGCCGCGGU
rnacentral:rRNA from 1 species